AAAACCAGCUGAAGAAGCCCAGACUGAGACAUCCUUCCACAAAGUCAGACCAUGGAGGUAAAGCCGUCCCGUCACCAUGCGGGUCAGGAAGUGCUCUGUCAGACAGGCCCGUGUUGGUGAGCGGAAGAGGAGACGUCUCUGUUUUUCCCA